rnacentral:rRNA from 1 species
AGAAUUCAGAGAUGGAUUUGUGCCUUCGGGAACCGUGAGACAGGUGCUGCAUGGCUGUCGUCAGCUCGUGUUGUGAAAUGUUGGGUUAAGUCCCGCAACGAGCGCAACCCUUAUCCUUUGUUGCCAGCGAUUAGGUCGGGAACUCAAAGGAGACUGCCAGUGAUAAACUGGAGGAAGGUGGGGAUGACGUCAAGUCAUCAUGGCCCUUACGACCAGGGCUACACACGUGCUACAAUGGCGCAUACAAAGAGAAGCGACCUCGCGAGAGCAAGCGGACCUCAUAAAGUGCGUCGUAGUCCGGAUUGGAGUCUGCAACUCGACUCCAUGAAGUCGGAAUCGCUAGUAAUCGUGGAUCAGAAUGCCACGGUGAAUACGUUCCCGGGCCUUGUACACACCGCCCGUCACACCAUGGGAGUGGGUUGCAAAAGAAGUAGGUAGCUUAACCUUCGGGAGGGCGCUUACCACUUUGUGAUUCAUGACUGGGGUGAAGUCGUAACAAGGUAACCGUAGGGGAACCUGC